rnacentral:rRNA from 1 species
GACGAACGCUGGCGGCGUGCCUAAUACAUGCAAGUCGAACGCACAGGUUAUACCGUCGCUUGCUACACGAUAGCCUGUGAGUUGCGAACGGGUGAGUAACGCGUAGGUAACCUGACUGGUAGCGGGGGAUAACUAUUGAAAACGAUAGCUAAUACAGCAUAAUAUUAAUUAUUGCAUAGUAAUUAAUUGAUAGGUGCAAUUGCACCACUACAAGCUGGCCCUGCGUUGUAUUAGCUAGUAGGUGAGGUAACGGCUCACCUAGGCGACGAUACAUAGCCGAACUGAGGGGGUGAUCGGCCACACUGGGACUGAGACACGGCACAGAGUCCCACGGGAAGGAGCAAGAGGGAAACGUCGGCAAUGGGCGGAAGUCCGGACGAACAAAGCCGCGUGAGGGAAUAAGGGUUUCGGGUCGUAAAGCUCUGUUGUAAGGGAAGAAACGGUGUUAGAGUGGAAAGUUCACACUGUGACGGUACCUUACCAGAAAGGCACGGCUAACUACGUG